GUCCCAGGGGCUGGACUUCCGCGGGGCGCGUGGCUGUUGUUCCCCCUCAGGUGCCCUCGCGCUAGGCUGGGUCUGCGGACAGCCGAGGGGGCAGAAUAGGGGGCUCGAGGGGAGGAGGCCAGGCGGCUCUGCCUCCCGGGACCGGCGCUGCCAAGUUCUCGGCGUCCGGCGGUCCGCGCGUUUCCUGGGCCUCGGAGUUUGAGGCGGAGGGGCCCGGGGAGGCCCGGGUCGGCGAGGCCAGCGUCCGUCCGGCUCUGACCCGCGCAGCCCGCCUCGCUCCGCGCCAGCGCCCUGUCCCCGGCCGAAAGCCUGCGCGCCGCAGACAGAUGGGGGAUGGCGCCGGACUUCUGGAGGGACCCAGAACCGGCUGUUCUUUCAUCUUCCCGGCAGCCUGCACGUCCACUCUGGAGUCCUGCUCUUCCAGUUUGCUCCCACUCCACUGGCUGCGGAUUCAAGAAGCUUGGCAAGCCACAAACAGGAUGAGCACAGGAAAAUCACACCUGGAGUAAGCAUGUCAUAGUCCAAGUGCUGAAAACCAGAGGUAAAGAAAACAUUUUGAAAGCAGGUAGGUUCCAUAUCGGGGAACAGUGAUGUGGAAGAGUGGAGGACAGAGUCAGUGAGCUCACACUCUGAAGUGCUGACAAAGAAGACAAUCUAGAAUUCUGUAGCCAAUGAAAAUAUCUUGCAGUAGGAGAGACAGGUAAAGACAUUUUAUGAGAAAUGAUAGAGGAUGGGGCUCCUGGGUGGCUCAGUCAGUUAAGCAGCCGACUCCUGAUUUGGGCUCAGGUCGUGAUCUCGUGGUUUGUGAGUUCAAAACCUGCACUGGGCUCUGUGCUGGCGGCG